rnacentral:rRNA from 1 species
CCCUUAGAUGUCCUGGGCCGCACGCGCGCUACACUGAGUGUCUGAGAUACGAGUCUGCCUGGUCCGGCAAGGUCUAGGUAAUCGCUAAAAGACACAUCAUGCUUGGGAUAGAUUAUUGCAAAUAUUAAUCUUGAACGAGGAAUUCCUAGUAAGCGCAAGUCAACAGCUUGCGUUGAUUACGUCCCUGCCCUUUGUACACACCGCCCGUCGCUACUACUUAUUGGAUGUUUAAGCGAGGUUCUCGAACUGCUAGCGACUUAGCUUCGGUGAGGUCGCAGUGUGGGAAGUGAACCUAGCUUUGGUGUCUAGAGGAAGUAAAAGUCGUAACA